ACUGGUUUCUCAGCAGAAGAAGAGGAGGAAGAUGAAGACAUUGGUGAAGAGUCCUCAGCAGAGCACACUUCUGUCUUCUCCUGUUUACCUACAUCUUUGGAGUGCUUGGCUGACACCAGCGAUUCCUGCUUCCUUCAGUUUGAGUCCUGUCCAAUGGAGGAGAGCUGGUUCAUCACUCCUCCCCCAUGUUUUACAGCAGGGGGAUUAACCACUAUCAAAGUGGAAACAAGUCCUAUGGAAAACCUUCUCAUUGAACAUCCCAGCAUGUCUGUCUAUGCUGUGCACAACUCCUGUCCUGGUCUCAGUGAAGCUAGCUGUGGGAACGAUGACUAUAACUCAAGUGGUCCCAGGGCCAGAAAAAGCUGCUUAUAAGACUCACGGGCACAGAGUAAGUAUGUUUACUUUGGGACCAUAUGAUCUGUGUUAUCAGUUUGAGCAGGGAGACCAGGAAUUCAAAUGCCCACCUUCAAAAAAAAAAAAAAAAA
rnacentral:lncRNA from 1 species